AGAAUCAGCGUGGGGACUGAAUGAACAAAGAGAUGUGGUUCAGACUUCAUUAAAGUCCACGUAAAGGAACAGUGCGUGACAUGUGGACCGGCCACAGGUGCUCUGCGUGGAAGAGUGAAGUGUGGGAGCACCGAGCUUGAGCGUCUGUGGCCGUGAGAGGUGGUCCAUCGCUGACCUGCUUGUCCCUGCUACUCCCAGAGGAUGCUGCAGUAUGUGGUACCUGGGUCUCCGAGAGAUUCCUGCCCCUGAAGUGGGAAGGAGAGAAAAAGAGCCCUGGCGAGGGAGCAAGGGGAUAAAAGAGAUGAGAGAGAGAGACUGGGGGUGGGGGACACCCGGAAACAGACUGAAAAAAAAACAAAACAAAACAAAACAAAAAAACAAAAUCCAGAACAUCUACCUGGAAAGAAAUAAAACAUUAAAACAAGAGAUAGUAAUGCUAAAUAAAGCAAGAAGAAAGACUACCAAAGACAGGUUUGCCUUAGAACUCUAUGCUGGAAGCCCGGCAGGGAGGGGCAGAGAGGACAGGCGACACACCUGCCCGUGGGUGAGCCUCUUGGGGCGCGGCGGGAGCCGGAGCCUGAGCCUGGCAGCUCUCUUGCUCGCUCGCUCUACCCCAGACCUCGCUCAGACGAAGAACGCCAAUUGCCGCCCCAGUCCACCGCGCGGUGGGGCGCAGGGAAGGCCGGCCGAAGGCUUUGAACCCUCGGCUGGCCGCGUGGUGUCCCGUGAUGUCCCGGCGAUGACAGGGUGGCUUGGCCCCGGGAGAAGGACUGGGGGCCGGGGGCGCGGCCACUCCCGCGCUUUCGUCUCCAGCGGCCCGGUUCUCCCGGACGCUGGGCCCCCGCGGCGGGUCCGUCCGCACCCUAAGGCUAGGGCUGGGCGAACGGACCCCGGGACUGGCUCUGCGAGCUUCCCCCGGGUCCGAAAUCGCCAACAGCGUCCCGGGCCCCGCAGGUCGAUCUCCUGCAGCGCCGAGGGAUCCGGCUCGCAGCCGAGCAACCAGGACUCUAGUGUUAGGUCAUUUCAUUUUCCUCGAACCCCGAGCAAUUCUUCGGGCCCUCCGGGUUUUGCUGUUGGGGGACAGGGCUGCUCCCGCAGCGGGCUCGUGGCCACUCUCCCAGGGUUUGGACAGAGGUUCUCGCAGCCCUGCCCGAAAGAAAGCAAUGAAUGAGUGCGGCUCGCGGGCCAGUUCACGGAAGACCAAGCCUGAACUGGUGGGUCAGUUGACCUAUUCCCAGAAAGUUCUGGACCUCGUCAAAACGGCGGAUGUUAGCGCGGGUGGGUGUGGGUCACUCUCUUGCUGCUGCUGGGAGCUCAGGGGGACCCGAGGGCGCAGGGCAGGUGACUGGGUGCGAAGGGCACGGACUGCCGCGCUGUGUGGCUCAGACCCUAGUCCUAAGGGGACAAAACGGAGGAAAAAUGCGGCUUCCAGGGGUGGGGGCAGAAGACUCCAGAGCCUGCUGACUGGGCUCUUUUCACUCGCUCAGGAAUGUAGUGUGGCUUUUCCGUUUGGUAUGGCUGGCAGGCGUAGGGUUGGGUGAAUUGACUGUCCCUUGCCACCCCUCCUCCCGAUCUGUAACCAGCUUCUGAACCGGUCAACUUCUCCCAGAGAAACAGAUACACGGCAUACUGUCACUUUUUUUUUUUUUUAAUGACAUAAAACAAAACAAUUCACAGUACACUAAAAUAGUCUGACAUAAAAAGGGAUACCUCUGCCUGAGGUAUCUCUUAGAAUUGACACUCUCUAAAACGAGGGAAUAUUUUUGUUUUUCUUCAGAGCGGUGCUGGGGCAGACUUGUUAGGCAAGUACUCUGCAUGUGUGCCACAGGCCCAGCCCAGCCUGAUGUAACUUCUAUUUGAAAUUGAGUUCUUUUUUAUACUCACCACCAUCAGCAGCAAAAAUAUUAUUUGGCUUAAUAACUUGUAUUUCUUAAUAAUUUAUAGUUUCUUUUCUCCUCCUCUUCUCCUCCUCCUGAGAACUGGGAAGAUGUUACAUAUUUUGAUUGUGCUUUGUUUUUUUUGUUGAUAAUGCCCAUAUAGCCCAGGCUGGCCUCAAAUUUCUUAUAUAGUCAUGGUUAGCCUUCAACUUUUCAUCCUCCUGCCUCUACCUUCCGAAUGCUGGAAUUACAGGAACAGGGCACUGUGUUUAGAUCUAUGCUUUUAUUUUUAACAGUCAAAAUAAAAAUCUAUAAGUGUAAUUAAGUUCAUUCAGAUCCCUGUCCAGGAACAGAUGAAACAACAAACUGGGAAGUGUGGAGCAGGCAUGGUGGUGUGUGCUUGUAAUUCUAGCACUGGAGAGCGGGACACAGGAAAGUAGCAAACAAAGCUGAAGACAACCUGGUCAAAAGAGCACAUUCUAGGCUAAAAGGACAUAGGGAGACCUUGUCUUAAUAAACAAAAUAAAUAAAAGUUUAGAAAAUAACUUAAAACGCUGAAAUAAAUAAACAAGAUGUUGUUCAGUAAA
ensembl:lincRNA expressed sequence AI849053